UAUAUAUGUGUGAUCAAUAAAGACUCGCUAUCAUUAUUGUACAAAAAAAAACACCCCUCUCAAACAUUCGCUUAUUCUCAUUCUCUUAUUUCUCUCUAUGGACAGAUAUGAUUUUUAAUAGCUCUCUAGUACAGCUGUUUUCUGUGUUAAUUCAUAACCACUUAAUACAGUGAUGAAUGUUAAUCUUAUGAGAUGUGUCCAUAAAAUAAAAUUUUAAAAAAAAAAAUUCAACUAAAUCUUUUUUGCAACACUGAGGAUCAGGUAUUGAUUAAAAUUAUGAUCUGUAAGUCAUUCAGAGCGGAUAUUUCUUAGGAAGUUUCUCUUUGUUCUCAAUACAGCAAAUCCUCCAUGGUUUUUCCUUUGCUUUCAGAGCCAUGAAUUUAAAUCCCGCACUGUGUGGAAAGCAGUAGCAAUCAAACCAGUAUCUAGAACCUCACUGACUCCUUCGUGUUGAUGUUUUGAGCUCUGCUUUUAUUUCUAAUACUCAUGACUCUUUUAUUGUAGCUUUCAUUACAACAUCUGUCCGUCUAUUUGUCUGAAUCUGCAUGAAGUGGAUUUUUGUGCUGCUUCAGGUUCAUCUCCCGGGUGUGUUUUUAGCUCGGAAAGCAUGGCGAGUGGAAGCAGGUGCUGUUGCUCUGAUUGUCUUCUACCUCUUUUCCAGCUGACAAACUACCGUAUGCUUCUAAUGCCCAAAUCUGUCGCUUUUAUAAAAACAUCGUCAUCCUCAGGUUAUUGGUUAUUUUCUGUAUUUGGUUUCAAUUUCGUUUUUUUUUUUUUUGUCGUUGUUGUGUUUUUUUUUUUAAUAUUCAUACACAGCAUUUUAGAUGUUGGGCUAAUGAAUGCGUAAUCAGGUUUUGGAGUUGAAAUGAAGAAAGGAGAGAAGUCGGGUUGGCGAGAACUAAACAAAUUAAAGAGGAAGAUGCAGUUAUUAAACUUUCUUGACCUGCUGACCUGCUGGAUUCAAUUAAGCAAACACACACACUGUCAUCUGCAAGUCAUUUAAAAUCCAUUACCUCUCCACAUUUGUGUGUGCACAGAACAAACACGUCCUUUCCCGACUAGUCCUUUUAUUCACUUACGGAUUCGCUUACUGAUUACAUUUGAUAUAUAUUUAUUUAUUUAGUUAAUUGCUUAUCAUUCACUCACUUGCUCACUCACGCCCUCUCUUCGCCACCCUCGUUCGAGCCUUCAUUCGUGUCGAUUGCAGCAAUUUGCCACACUGCUUCAUGCUAUUGAUUCUUCCAGAGUGUCUCCUACACUACUACAAGGCAAAGUCAGUAGGAUACUCAUCACCAAGGAGCACAGAGGAGGAUCAGUUACAGCCGGAAGACUGUUGACUUUUUGACCAGCCGUAUUUUCAUAAUUGCUGCUGCCAUCAAGCAGUUCCUGACUGCACAUCUGGUAAUAUUAUUACAUCCUCCCUUAGUCUUCUUAAACCUGAAAUACUAGAACUGCUCAUAUUCAUGGCUUUGUUUAGGCUUUGGUUCUGGGUGAUUAAAUUUUUAAAAUAGUCAAUCUAUAAGCAGGGCAAAAUCAAUUCAAGCCUUCUUUCAACCAAUGCAUUCAAACACCCUGACCUCGUGAAAUAUUUGAGGACAAUUCGAAGGUUUGCAUAUACAACCUACAGGUGCGUCUAAAAAAAAAAUUGAAUAUCGUGGAAAAGUUCGGGGGUUUUUUCCAUAAUUUGAUUCAACAAGUUGAAGUUUUCAUAUAUUCUACAUUCAUUACACAUGAAGUGAAAUAUUUCAAGCCUUUUUUGUUUUAAUCUCGAUGAUUAUGGCUUACAGCUCAUGGAAAUCAAAAAUCCAGUAUCUCAAAAUAAUAGAAUAAAGAAUUUAUAAUACAGAAAUGUCGACCUUCUGAAAAGUAUGUUAAUUUAUGCACUCAAUACUUGGUCGGGGCUUUAAUCCUUCUGCACGAAUUACUGCCUGAAUGCGGCGUGGCAUGGAGGCAAUAAGCCGGUGGUACUGCUGAGGUGUUAUGGCAGCCCAGGUUGUUGAGGAGUUAUGGAAGUCCAGGUUGCUGAGGCGUUAUGGAAGUCCAGGUUGCUGAGGUGUUAUGGAA
ensembl:lncRNA